rnacentral:rRNA from 1 species
AGGGGCAGCGGGGAGUGAGGCUUGCCUUACUUUGCCGGCGACCGGCGCACGGGUGAGUAACACGUAUGCAACCUACCCUUUACAGCGGGAUAACCGGAAGAAAUUUCGCCUAAUACCGCAUAUACUCCUUGGGAGGCAUCUUCCGAGGGGGAAAGAAUUUCGGUGAAGGAUGGGCAUGCGUCGCAUUAGUUAGUUGGCGGUGUAACGGACCACCAAGACGACGAUGCGUAGGGGUUCUGAGAGGAAGGUCCCCCACACUGGUACUGAGACACGGACCAUACUCCUACAGGAGGCAGCAGUGAGGAAUAUUGGUCAAUGGCCGAGAGGCUGAACCAGCCAAGUCGCGUGAGGGAAGAAUGUCCUAUGGAUUGUGGACCCUCUUUUGUCAGGGAGCAAAAUCACCCACGUGUGGGUGUUGGAGAGUACCUGAAGAAAAAGCAUCGGCUACCUCCCUGCCAUCCGCCGCGGUAAUACGGAGGAUGCGAGCGUUAUCCGGAUUUAUUGGGUUACAAGGGUGCGUAGGCGGGUUAUCAAGUCAGCGGUAAAUCGGGAGCUCAACUCCAUCCAGCCGUUGAAACUGAUGUCUGAGUGGGCGAGAAGUAUGCGGAAUGCGUGGUGUAG